AUUGAACGCUGGCGGCAUGCUUUACAUAUGCAAGUCGGACGGCAGCACAGAGAAGCUUGCUUCUUGGGUGGCGAGUGGCGAACGGGUGAGUAAUAUAUCGGAACGUACCGAGUAAUGGGGGAUAACUAAUCGAAAGAUUAGCUAAUACCGCAUAUUCUCUGAGGAGGAAAGCAGGGGACCUUCGGGCCUUGCGUUAUUCGAGCGGCCGAUAUCUGAUUAGCUAGUUGGUGGGGUAAAGGCCUACCAAGGCGACGAUCAGUAGCGGGUCUGAGAGGAUGAUCCGCCACACUGGGACUGAGACACGGCCCAGACUCCUACGGGAGGCAGCAGUGGGGAAUUUUGGACAAUGGGCGCAAGCCUGAUCCAGCCAUGCCGCGUGUCUGAAGAAGGCCUUCGGGUUGUAAAGGACUUUUGUCAGGGAAGAAAAGGCUGUUGCUAAUAUCAAUAGCUGAUGACGGUACCUGAAGAAUAAGCACCGGCUAACUACGUG
rnacentral:rRNA from 1 species